ACUCUCCGCUCGCGGUGUGUUGCGCCCGUAAACGGCUCCGGCGGAUCUCACCUACCACCAGUCACGUGUCAACACAAACGAUAUUCACGAUGUAAAAUUUUCGGACCCACUUCUGGGCGCCCGGAACAUAGGAUCCUAAUUGGCUUCCAGUUCUGAUCAAAUCUGCACUCAACUUCUGGGCGACCCAAGACCUGUUCUGGGCGCCCGAAUCUGUCAAAACUCCAGUUUUGUUUAUUUGAGUGCGCCGAGUUCAUUUCUGUAUCCAUUUCGCGCAGAAACGACUCCGACUCAGUCUGACACUCUCUAGACGUGUCGACCAGUCACUAACACUGAAACUAAUCUUAUCCAAAGUUCAGAAACACUACAAUAUAAGUUUAUUUUUUAUUUUUUAAUUUUAGAUUUGAUUUGGACUUAAGUUAAAAUUUAAAUUCAAUCAAAAUUUUCAAUUUAGUUUAUGAAAUUAAAUUUAAAUUCAAAUUUUUAUUUUAUUUUUAAUUUGUAAAUUUUAUUUAGAUUUUAAAUUAAAUACAUGGAUUCGAAUUGAAAUUCAAAUUAUAAAUUUUUAUUUUGAAUUUGAAUCAAAUCGUAAAUUAGGUUUAUGUUGUAAAAUCGUCAACUCAGUUUAAAUUAUAAAUUGUUUAAAAAAAUUAUAUUUAAAAUGUUGUUGGCUUAUCACUUCUAAAUUUUGAUGUAAAUUCUUAAUAUAUGAGUUUUAGUUUGAAUUUAGGUUAUAAAUUUAGUUAUAUAUUUUUAUAUUGCAAACUUAAUUUUAAAUUUAAGUUUAUACUUUAAUAUUUUAUUUAAAUUUUUCUUACUUGUUCUUUUAUAAUCAUUUUUUUUUCCACUAUUCCAAUUCUAUAUAAUUAUUAUUCUAAACCAAACAUAUAUAUUGAGAUAUUUUUACCAUUCUAUUUUCGAUUUCCAUUUCGACUCCAAUUUUU
rnacentral:lncRNA from 1 species